UACGGGGGGGGCAAGCGUUGUUCGGAAUUACUGGGCGUAAAGGGCUCGUAGGCGGCCAACUAAGUCGGACGUGAAAUCCCCAGGCUCAACCUGGGAACUGCAUUCGAUACUGGAUCGCUAGAGUUCGGCAGAGGGAAGCGGAAUUUCGGGUGUAGCGGUGAAAUGCGUAGAUAUCCGAAGGAACAUCAGUGGCGAAAGCGGCUUCCUGGACCAGAACUGACGAUCAGGCACGAAAGCGUGGGGAGCAAACAGG
rnacentral:rRNA from 1 species